UCCAAUGCCAAGAGUCCGUGGACUGAUGCAGCCACAGACCAGAGUGCACCUGUGACUACCAGGGGCUGGAAGAGGCAAAGAAGGCUUCCCUUCUAGAGCCUUCGAAAGGAGCACGGCCCUGCUGACUUUGGUUUUGGAUUUCUGGCCUCCAGAAUGGUGAGAAAAUUUCUCAUUGGAAGCCACCCAGUUUAGGGCAAUUCGUGACAGCAGCCCCAGGUAACUAAUGAGCUCUGCAAUGACCCUGAGACACAGGGACUGUUACCAUCUCCCAUUUCAUAGAUGAGGAAACAGAGGCACAGAGCUCAGGUAACUUGUCCGGGGUUGCAGAGGCAGGAAAAGGGCCGGGCCAAGAUGAAAAACGGGGCAGAAUGACCGCAUGCAGAGACCAAGCUGCUGGUAGCUGUUGGCACCGUCUUUUGUUCUGCCAGAAUGUACCUGAAAUAAAUCUGCAUUCUACCCGCAGUUUUCAGAAGAGAAAAAUGAGACAACCGUGGAGGAAUUCCUGGCGGAACAAAGCGUGUAUGGCACAUUCAAAUUCUCAAGCAGCUUCUGUGUACAUUAUUUUGCUUCCUGUGGGCAGCCAGCUGGAGAAAUAGCUGCGUGAUACCCAUUCUCCGGAUGCAAACAUUGAAACAGAUGAGAACUGAGCCCGGUUGUGCAGAUCCCAAAAGAGGGCGCGCCGAGGGCCACAGACACCGCGAGUCCUGGAGAAAGUGUUGAUGGCAACUUUGGGACGAUGGGGCUGUGCUCUGAAGGCCGGAAGAGUUUCAACAGGGGCAGAUGGGGCAGAAGAGGUGAACUGCCUCCGGCAGCGUGGUGUCACAAGGGCCUGGGGACCGAAAGGAGCCCGGGAGCCAGGCUGGGGAAGGAGACCAGCCUCCCUUCUCUUGAAGCCCGCUCCCCUGUGACAGCAUCGCAGACCCGAGCCAUCAAAUACACGCCCUGACCACAGUUCCAGAGCCUUCUUCAUUCAUCAGAGGACAGACGGGAACUCUGUAAGCAACAUCUAGACUGGUGCUUAACCAAGCACCUGGGCACUACAGCGAAGCCAACUUCAUAUAUAAAAUGAAAAACCACAGUGAGGAUAUUACCUCCUUCCUAAGGUUUUAGAAGGAUCGAAUGAGACAGCGCAGACACGGAACUUCAUAUGCCUCAAACACUCAGUAUCUUUAGUUCUUAUGGACAGAGCCGGGCAUGGGAGAAGCAGUUGAUGAAUGUUUACGGUUGUUGGUAAGUGCCAGAGUCAUAUCAGAACCUAGAUCAUUUGCCUCCAGAGCUCAUUGUCAACCUCUCUGCCUGUUUUGUCCAAUAUGAUAGCAACCAGACAGAUACGGCUACUAAGCACUUGUAAUGUAGCUAGUGUGGCUAAAAUUUAAAUUUAAAAACUAACACGGGGAAAAUUUUUAAAUAUUGAAAUGACCCCGAUUCCAGGAUACAGUGAGUCAAACAAAACAUGCCACCAAAGUUAACUUCACCUGUUACUUUUUACUUUAAUGUGGCUGCUCGAAAAAUUCAAAUCACACAUGUGGCUUGCGUUAUAUUUUUAACGGACAUGUGCUUUCCUAGCCUACACAGGAUCGGCCAAGCAGAACAAACACGAUAUCAAUGCAUCUUAAUUUCAGGGAGGCUGUCCAAAUUCUUUCUUAAAAAACCUUAACAGUAGCACUAACCAUGAAGGGAAAAAAAAAAUCGGACUUUAUUUCAGUUAAGAUCUUUUGCUCAUUAAGAGACACUGUGAAGAGAGUAAAAAAAGACAAACCACAGAUUUAGAAAAGAUAUUUGCAAUUCAUACACCUGACAAAAGAAUGUUAUCAUAUUGUUAUAUAUCCAGGAUUUAUAACAGAUUCCUGCAAAUCAAUAAGGAAAAGGCAUACCACCCAAAAGAAAAACUUGUGGAAGACUGGAACAGGCAUUUAAAAAGGGGACGUCCAGAUGACCAAUUAACACAUGGAAUGCAAAUUUGAACACACUGGCUAAAAUAAAAGUGACAGGAAACACCAAAUGGCAACAAAGAUGUGGCACUGAAAUUCUCAUACGCCGCUGUUGGGGAAUAAAUUAGUACAACCAUGUUGGAGGAUUUUUUUUUCUUAUCUCCGUUUUCUAAUUUUCCCACUAAGAGCAAGCAUGCAUCUCUCUCUUCCACCAAAAAAAGAAAAAGCAGUAAAAUUGAUCUUUAACUUAAAAAGUCAGCAUUUCAAAAUAUAUAAAAUAAUGAGGCAGAGAGAAGAAGGCCCUGGGCCCUGCCGCGCUGGAAGGAAUUGUCAGCAGUUAAUUGAGCCGCAGGGAGACUUUCGAGAGCCGGAUUGCAAGCACGGUGAGCCUCACAAAUGACAAAACACAGAGCCUAUCUGUUUAAAACAGCCCCCGUGGGCUCCCUGCAAACUGCGGGGCGUUCUUUGAUGCCAGGAACCGGAGGGGCCCUGCCAGGGGCUUUGGUGAAAGCAGAGGUUUCCUGGGGGGCUCCUUUCGCAUGAAGUCAUAACAUAAUUCUCUUUGGAGAAACGCGUCUAUAACAAAUGCCCCACAAAAUUAGAUCACUGAAACCUGAAAUUUGCAAAGCUCUGCUCUGGCCUUUGAUACCAGGCUCUCCCUUAAAUUCUUAAAUCUAAGAGUUAAGAGUAUUGUUGCCACGCAUCUGUUUUUGAAGUUCCUCAGCAUGGGUAGCUCUUGAUCAGGGAAAUGGAGAAAUGAUGGUCGUUAACAUAAAACCCGGGGCACCGCCAUCAGCUCUCUGCCUGCAAAGCCGGCUGUUUCCAAGCUCCUCCAUUCUGUAGUGCUGCUCUCCGGUGCCGUGCGAGCCUAGGGAGUUUUAUCCCGGGUUCCACAGACCCCUGAUAUGUUUGUGGAAGGAAUCUAUGGGUUCUUCGAACUUGGAUGGGGGAAAAAACAUAUUUACGGUCACUAACCUUGAACCAAAAUGCUAGCACUUCAGUUUGAAAAGCA